rnacentral:rRNA from 1 species
AUUGAACGCUGGCGGCAGGCCUAACACAUGCAAGUCGAACGAGUGGCGGACGGGUGAGUAAUGUGUGGGAAUCUCCCUUAUGGAGGGGGAUAACUACGGGAAACUGUAGCUAAUACCGCAUACCAUGAGAAGUGCCCAGGGGGGAUUCGCUAGUUGGUGGGGUAAAGGCUCACCAAGGCGACGACCCCUAGCUGGUCUGAGAGGAUGACCAGCCACACGGGGACUGAGACACGGCCCAGACUCCGACGGGAGGCAGCAGUGGGGAAUAUUGCACAAUGGGCGCAAGCCGGAUGCAGCCAUGCCGCGUGUAUGAAGAAGGCCUUCGGGUUGUAAAGUACUUUCAGUAGGGAGGCGUUACCGACAGAAGAAGCACCGGCUAACUCCGUGCCAGCAGCCGCGGUAAUAC